UACGGAGGGGCUAGCGUUGUUCGGAAUUACUGGGCGUAAAGCGCACGUAGGCGGACUGUUAAGUCGGGGGUGAAAGCCUGUGGCUCAACCACAGAAUUGCCUUCGAUACUGUUAGGCUUGAGUAUGGUAGAGGUUGGUGGAACUGCGAGUGUAGAGGUGAAAUUCGUAGAUAUUCGCAAGAACACCGGUGGCGAAGGCGGCCAACUGGACCAUUACUGGACGCUGAGGCGCGAAAGCGUGGGGAGCAAACAGG
rnacentral:rRNA from 1 species